UCUGGUUUGUCAAUGAUGACUGAACUUUUUUCCCCAGCAGAUCGACAAUGUUGACUGUUUCGGUCUUAGCCAAACUUUGUCUGAUUCACCAGA
rnacentral:snoRNA from 1 species